AUUGAACGCUGGCGGCAUGCUUUACACAUGCAAGUCGAACGGUAACAGGCCGCAAGGUGCUGACGAGUGGCGAACGGGUGAGUAAUGCAUCGGAACGUGCCCAGUCGUGGGGGAUAACGCAGCGAAAGCUGCGCUAAUACCGCAUACGAUCUAUGGAUGAAAGCGGGGGACCGUAAGGCCUCGCGCGAUUGGAGCGGCCGAUGUCAGAUUAGGUAGUUGGUGGGGUAAAGGCUCACCAAGCCAACGAUCUGUAGCUGGUCUGAGAGGACGACCAGCCCCACUGGGACUGAGACACGGCCCAGACUCCUACGGGAGUCAGCAGUGGGGAAUUUUGGACAAUGGGCGCAAGCCUGAUCCGGCAAUGCCGCGUGCAGGAAGAAGGCCUUCGGGUUGUAAACUGCUUUUGUACGGAACGAAACGGUCCUGGUUAAUACCUGGGGCUAAUGACGGUACCGUAAGAAUAAGCACCGGCUAACUACGUGCCAGCCGCCGCCGUAACAC
rnacentral:rRNA from 1 species